rnacentral:lncRNA from 1 species
GGGCCUACUGUAUGCAGGCACAGGGUUACGGAUCAUUUUGAGUAAAUUAAUUGAGUGUUCCUGUAUUUAUCUGGAUAUUGGCCAUGACUUAUCACCACAUAAUUCACCUGCAUGAUUGAGUCAUGUGGACAGGAUGCAAGUGCAGGUAGAAUGUAUUCCACAGAGCCAGCAGGGUACAAACUCACCUUGGGAGAAGUAGGCAAAACACAGAUCUAAACUCUAGAACAGAGAAAUCAACUUCACAGUAGCAUAACCGCAGCACAUAAUCCAACAGUGCGACCCACACACUGGCGUAACCCCAGCACAUAAUCCAACAGUGCGACCCACACACUGGCGUAACCACAGCACAUAAUCCGACCCACACACUGGCGUAACCACAGCACAUAAUCCGACCCACACACUGGCGUAACCACAGCACAUAAUCCAACCCACACACUGGCGUAACCACAGCACAUAAUCCAACCCACACACUGGCGUUACCACAGCACAUAAUCCAACAGUGCGACCCACACACUGGCGUAAACACAGCACAUAAUCCAACAGUGCGACCCACACACUGGCGUAAACACAGUGACCAUUCCAAUGACUUUACAGUAGGAGACUCUUCUACUGGACAGAUGGGGCGAUCUAGCUCUAACAGGAGGUCACACUCCCCUACACCCACCUGUGUGUCCAUGAAGAGUGACCAGUCCAUGGGUCGACCACUCAACUUUACAGGAGGAGAUUCUCCUAAUGGACAGUAAGAUUAUGACUCUACUAGGGGUGUAAAUCUCUCAUGACAAAGACGAUCCGAUUCGUAUCUCGAUACAUGGGCACGAUACAAGAAAAGAUGCAGGCUGUCAUUGUUCUGACUGAGAUCAAAUGCAACAGGUCAGCCAGUGUUUUGUGUUUUGCGUAGCAAAAAACGGAGAGACAAACGCUUGUGAACCGGUUCAUAACUUUUAAAUCGGGCAAAGACCGGUUUAUGCCAUUUUAAUACCGAUACGGGACUUCACGCAUCGAUGUAGUCGUAUCUUACACGCUAAAAACGGAUAUCGAUACGUAUCAGGUUUUUUUUACACCCCUAGACUCUACGAUUUAUGCUGUUAGUGUGUGUGUGUGUGUUUGUG